rnacentral:rRNA from 1 species
AGAGUUUGAUCCUGGCUCAGGAUGAACGCUGGCGGCGUGCUUAACACAUGCAAGUCGAACGAACCUUCGGGUUAGUGGCGGACGGGUGAGUAACGCGUGGGAACCUGCCCUCAGGAGGGGGAUAACGGCUGGAAACGGCCGCUAAUACCCCAUAUGCCGAGAGGUGAAAUGAAUUUCGCCUGAGGAUGGGCCCGCGUCUGAUUAGCUAGUUGGUGGGGUAAGAGCUCACCAAGGCGACGAUCAGUAGCUGGUCUGAGAGGAUGAUCAGCCACACUGGGACUGAGACACGGCCCAGACUCCUACGGGAGGCAGCAGUGGGGGAUUUUCCGCAAUGGGCGAAAGCCUGACGGAGCAACGCCGCGUGGGGGAUGAAGGCCUCUGGGCUGUAAACCUCUUUUCUCAAGGAAGAAGAUCUGACGGUACUUGAGGAAUAAGCCACGGCUAAUUCCGUGCCAGCAGCCGCGGUAAUACGGGAGUGGCAAGCGUUAUCCGGAAUUAUUGGGCGUAAAGCGUCCGCAGGCGGCCUUGUAAGUCUGUCGUUAAAGCGUGGAGCUCAACUCCAUUUCGGCGAUGGAAACUACAAGGCUUGAGUGUGGUAGGGGCAGAGGGAAUUCCCGGUGUAGCGGUGAAAUGCGUAGAUAUCGGGAAGAACACCAGUGGCGAAGGCGCUCUGCUGGGCCAUCACUGACGCUCAUGGACGAAAGCCAGGGGAGCGAAAGGGAUUAGAUACCCCUGUAGCCCUGGCCGUAAACGAUGAACACUGGGUGUCGGGGGAAUCGACCCCCUCGGUGUCGUAGCCAACGCGUUAAGUGUUCCGCCUGGGGAGUACGCACGCAAGUGUGAAACUCAAAGGAAUUGACGG